CAGACAUAAGCCAGGACCCUCCCAGGCAUACUGGGUGGUGACAUUCUAUUAACUGAACAUUUAAAGUAUAACUAACUCGUCUCUAUAUUAUUUGGAAACUUAAAUCCAUUGGGGGCACAGACAUGUAAGUGUAUGUAAAACAGUUAUAAAUGCCAUAGUGAAGAUAUAAUAGAAGCACUGCGUGUCCUCAGGGAAGUCAAUGGAAGCUUUCCAGGGGAGAUAAACUGAGGUUCACUAUGCAGCAUGAUGCCUGGAAGGGUAUCCUAGCAUGUGCAGAGACUUAUCUUAAAGGGGGCUUUAUUAAUGUGAGGCUUUGGCUGGUUGUGGAAGCAUGAUUGCUCUUUUAUUAUCAUUCUUGAAAUCAUACAUUUCUUACACAUUCUCUUGCAUGUAUGAGCCAGUUAUAUACUUAUGUAUAAAAGCUGGCUGGGGAGAAACUAACAUGGAUCAUUUUGGAGGGAAAACAAAUGGCAAGUUAAACACAAAACAGCACAUUGUUUUGAAAAAUUUCAAGAAUUGACAUGAAUGGAAUAUAGUGAUAUAGAUAUACAGACGGAAAGCAAGCUUAGGCCAAAUAAGGAGGGCUUUGAAUACUAAGAUCCCAUAUUUGGGACCUUGUCUUGAGACAGAUUAAUUUGGGAGUGACAUAUCCAGAUUUAUAUUUUGGAUUAAUUUUGGUAGCAGUGUGAGAGAUUGAGGGUGAAACCUGGGCAAGAGGAUCUGAAUCACAACAGCAGUUAUAAGCAUGGGUGGAAAUUUAAAAAUAUUUUUCCUGUGGAGGUCAGUGAACUUUAUUGUGUCUUUAUGGAGAUUUGGCUCUGCCACUUAUUAGACCUUGUCAUUUGUCGGUGGUACAUACCUGUAAUCCCAGUGGUACACUCCCAGUGACUGGGGAAACUGAGGCAGGAGGAUUGCAAGUUCAAGUCCAACUUCAAAAACUUAAAAAACAAUGAGAGACUAUGUGAAAAAAAAAUAUGGUGUUUCUCAGUUAAUAUGUAUUGGGCACUUAUUCCCUUCAGGGACUAUGCUUGUAUUAGAGAGUUCGUAGAGAAUGAAGAUUGGUGUCCUCUGGGAGCUCCUGG
rnacentral:lncRNA from 1 species